UACAGAGGUCUCAAGCGUUGUUCGGAUUCAUUGGGCGUAAAGGGUGCGUAGGCGGCGCGGUAAGUCGGGUGUGAAAUCUUGGAGCUUAACUCCGAAACUGCAUUCGAUACUGCCGUGCUUGAGGACUGGAGAGGAGACUGGAAUUUACGGUGUAGCGGUGAAAUGCGUAGAUAUCAGGAGGAACACCUGCGGUGUAGACGGCUUUCUGGACCAUUGCUGACGCUGAGACACGAAAGCGUGGGUAGCAAACAGG
rnacentral:rRNA from 1 species